rnacentral:lncRNA from 1 species
AGAAAAUCGGUGGGGAAGUUCAAUGAUACGCUUCUUUAGGAUGUUUUGAGUUUUUGUCUCAUCAGAGAGAAGUGUAGUUUGCAGCUUAGAUAUCUAUGGGCUUUAGUAUUUUAAUAACGUAAGUAGCAUUCUCAGACAAAUGAGACCUGUUGCCAGACUUGGAAUACAAUGACUGGAAACCCGGAGGUGAUGAGUUUUCUGAGCAUGUUAUGAUGCUAGGAUUGUUUACCUUUUCUUUUCUGUCUGGGUUUUCUAGAGGGGUGUUCGAUGCUUCCCUCAAAAUGGCUGGCUUCUAUGGACUGUACACCUGGCUGACUCACACUAUAUUUGGCAUCAAUAUUGUCUUCAUACCAUCAGGUAACAACCAUAUACAGAACUUCCUGGCUAUUUAAGGAAAGUUAGACCUUGCGUUAGAGCUGCCUUCUUCCUUAGAAUAAGGUCUCUGGAUCAGCAAUGUGCUUGUAUUUUGCUGUAGCCUCAGUAUCCGGAACUACACCCAUAACCUAGUCAUUUGCAGGUGUUGUUGAAUGAGUAAAUGUCUAAUACUUAUAUAACAUUGGGCAUAGUUGGUACUCAGAUUAAUUGAACUAAUUGGCAAGGAGUGAGCAGUUUGAUAGCUUUGUCCCAUGAGGGAUGCCAUCCCAGGGGCAGGAUGAGUGAGUCUGAGCGGGUUUAAUUAAGCACUUGUGCCUUUUGUGAUCCUCCUCUGAGACACAGCACCUCCCUCCUACAAGCAGCACACAGGCUGGUGACAAGCUUGCAGUUUUUCCUUGUCGCUUCAGAACCUCUGUCUGUCCACUUUUUAAUUUUUUUGUCACUGUUUCUCUAAAUAUCCCCCUCCUUCCACACUCUCUGCUGUCAGCUUCCAUUCUCCUUCCUUCCUUAUGUUCCACAUUCAAGCUUCCUUUUUCCCACUCAGCUGUAGUAAGUAGCCCACCCUCUGACUGUCACUGUACCCUGUAAGUAGCCCACCCUCUGACUGUCACUGUACCCUGUAAGUAGCCCACCCUCUGACUAUCUUGUACCCUGUAAGUAGUUCACCCUCUGAUUGUCUUGUACCCUGAGACCACACAAAGCUAUUGUAUAAUCAUGUUAAGGCAGGCAGGAAAGGCAUGUAUAGAUGAAAGUCAGUUUUUCAAGGUCACCCAGAUGGUUAACGGUUAGACCAGAACAAGAAUCCACUGCUGGGUGGCUCUUAGUCUGAAGGGAGCGAAAGGAGAGAGAGCUUGGACUGCUUUGGGACAGGUGAAUUUGAAGUCUUUCUACUUACAGGAUUUUUAUUUGUUUAUAUCUAGUAUGCUUAAUUUUUUAGUGGCAAGGAAAGAAUAAGAAUUCAACCCCUCUCCCCCCCCC